UGAGCAACCUGCCCCUCUCUCUGGGAUAACCCCGGGAAACCGGAGCUAAUACCGGAUACUCCGGCUGGAUCGCAUGGUCCGGCCGGGAAAGGUCCGCCGGAGAGGGAUGGGCCCGCGGCCUAUCAGCUUGUUGGUGGGGUCAUGGCUCACCAAGGCGACGACGGGUAGCUGGUCUGAGAGGACGACCAGCCACACUGGAACUGAGAUACGGUCCAGACUCCUACGGGAGGCA
rnacentral:rRNA from 1 species